rnacentral:rRNA from 1 species
CCUACGGGAGGCACCAGUGGGGAAUAUUGGACAAUGGGCGAAAGCCUGAUCCAGCAAUGCCGCGUGAGUGAUGAAGGCCUUAGGGUUGUAAAGCUCUUUUACCCGGGAUGAUAAUGACAGUACCGGGAGAAUAAGCCCCGGCUAACUCCGUGCCAGCAGCCGCGGUAAUACGGAGGGGGCUAGCGUUGUUCGGAAUUACUGGGCGUAAAGCGCACGUAGGCGGCUUUGUAAGUUAGAGGUGAAAGCCCGGGGCUCAACUCCAGAAUUGCCUUUAAGACUGCAUCGCUAGAACGUCGGAGAGGUGAGUGGAAUUCCGAGUGUAGAGGUGAAAUUCGUAGAUAUUCGGAAGAACACCAGUGGCGAAGGCGACUCACUGGACGACUGUUGACGCUGAGGUGCGAAAGCGUGGGGAGCAAACAGGAUUAGAUACCCCUGUAGUC